GGGGACCUUCGGGGCCCUUCACCAAACCGAGGCGCCGGCAACGGUGCGCGAAGCAGACGGAAGACAGAAA
rnacentral:ncRNA from 1 species